rnacentral:rRNA from 1 species
UGGUGGAGUGAUUUGUCUGCUUAAUUGCGAUAACGAACGAGACCUUAACCUGCUAAAUAGCCCUUUUGCUUCGGCAGUAAGCUGGCUUCUUAGAGGGACUAUCGGCUCAAGCCGAUGGAAGUUUGAGGCAAUAACA